rnacentral:rRNA from 1 species
UACGUAGGGUGCAAGCGUUGUCCGGAAUUAUUGGGCGUAAAGAGCUCGCAGGUGGUUUGUCGCGUCUGCCGUGAAAGCCCGGGGCUUAACCCCGGGUCGGCAGUGGAUACGGGCAGGCUAGAGGUAGGUAGGGGAGAAUGGAAUUCCCGGUGUAGCGGUGAAAUGCGCAGAUAUCGGGAGGAACACCGGUGGCGAAGGCGGUUCUCUGGGCCUUACCUGACGCUGAGGAGCGAAAGCGUGGGGAGCGAACAGG